UCGAAAGGGGUGCUAAUACCUGAUAACAUCCCUGGUACUGCGGUGUUGGGGAUCAAAGAUGGCCGAGGCUUGCAAGCUAUUGCUUUAGGAUGAGCCCGCGUACCAUUAGCUAGUUGGUGGGGUAAUGGCCCACCAAGGCCAUGAUGGUUAGCUGGUCUGAGAGGAUGGCCAGCCACACUGGAACUGAGAUACGGUCCAGACUCCUACGGGAGGCAGCAGUGGGGCUCCUACGGGACGCAGCAGUGGGGCUCCUACGGGAGGCAGCAGUGGGGCUCCUACGGGAGGCAGCAGUGGGACUCCUACGGGAGGCAGCAGUGGGACAGUUGGCUCAGAACGAACGCUGGCGGCUGGCUCAGAACGAACGCUGGCGGCAUGGCUCAGAACGAACGCUGGCGGCCCCACUCCUACGGGAGGCAGCAGUGGGACUCCUACGGGAGGCAGCAGUGGGACUCCUACGGGAGGCAGCAGUGGGACUCCUACGGGAGGCAGCAGUGGGACUCCUACGGGAGGCAGCAGUGGGACCUUGGCUCAGAACGAACGCUGGCGGCCCACUCCUACGGGAGGCAGCAGUGGGGCAGAUC
rnacentral:misc_RNA from 1 species